AUGUCCCUUCAGCUGCCCCUGUGAUGUGAAGCGGAGAACGCGGUUUCUAAAGGGGAUGUCUCCUUGUUGUGUUGUGCAGGGAGUACCCUAAUGUCUCUAGGCCCUGUUACAUACGGGGCACUGUAUUUGCAGAGCUGCACCCAGGAGAUCUUGGAGGAGAUGUUCUGUGGCUUCAACUCUUCUAACUCCCUAGACAAUGAUCGGGUGCUCCAGGCAAACAAGGAGCAGUGCUGUUCUGAGUGGGAUGUUUACGGAUGACUCCAUGGAAUACUGGUCUUCAUAAAAGCUCUGAGUUGAGAGAAAUGCGGGUGAUGCUCAGCUACUGGAAUGUGUUGAAGUUGCCAAUGCUCUGUCCUGCGUCCCAACCAACUAAUGGUGUUCAGCACAGCCCAAAGGGUCCUGGGCCAGCAACUCUACAGGUGACUGACCACCCCAUACACAGCACAGGGCCUGAGGCUCGCCUCUACUACCGGCAUGUUUUGGGAAUUUCACUGCACCUCUCUGAGCUUCCUUUUCCUCCUCUGAGAAGGGCUGUGAAGAGGAUGAACAUCAUGGGGCUACUGUGGGCAAUCCUGACAGAAAACAUGGCCUAGACUUCUCUGCUGUGUGGCCCUGUUCAAAGGGCUGCUGGGCAUCUUCCUGUGGAGCAGCUGUCUCUCGCCAGCGAAGAAGCUCUCCACAUCAAGCCUCAUGGGCCUGUGGCAACCUCGGUGUACAGAAGCACGUGGAAAGCAGGCCGUUUUCCUCUUUGCAAAAGACUUCUGGGAUUCCAUCUAACUGGCCCUGCUCCUUGUCCUUCAUGUGUCCAGAGCAGCGGUCAGUGGGGAAGACAGAGCAGCUCAUGGUCCACUCAGUAGAUGGAAAGUGCUGGUUGGGAUUCCUUUCUCCAAGAAUAGAGAGAAAGCGCCUAGGAUUGCAGCCACAUUUCGAAGCACUAACAUCAUUGAAAGAAUACAGUAGAUACACUGUCUCGGUCUCAAGUCUAGUCAGAGAGUCAGACAGUCAAUCACUCGACCUGUCGUAGGCACGCAUGUCCACAGUUGGUUAGAUGUGACAUCUUCAUGGCCGCCGCAUGGGAUGAAUGGAUCCACCCACAUUUUGACCACGCGGACGGAUGGUAAGAUCAAGGAAGGGCACUGGGUGGCUCAGUCAGUGAGGCCCCUGCUCUCAGGUCAGGCCAUGAUCCCAGGGACCUGGUUUUUUUGCCCUCUCCCCCUGCAGCUCACCCUGCUUAUUCUCUUUCCCUCUCUCCAAGAAUUUAAAAAACUUCCUUAAAAGUGUUUGUAAAAUAUCAAGUAAACCUCGGAUGGUCUGAAUCCAGUGCGAGAAAUUUGAUGCAUCAAAGGGUUUCCACCCAUUCUGGGUUUCCAGGUGAUGGCAGAUCAAGCAACUUAAACAGUCUCUGGGGUCACACAAGUUGCUCCUUGCAGCUCGGCAGACAUGGCAAGAGAAUGGCAUCAUGUCAAGUGCCCAGGGCCUUGAAAAUCUGAAUCACUGUGACAACGGCCCCAUUGAUGGAGUACUGCAAGGCCCUCUAAGGACACAGCUCAUGACCUAUUUGGCCUACAACGAUCUGAUGUAUUCUGGCACAUG
rnacentral:lncRNA from 12 species